rnacentral:rRNA from 1 species
GACGAACGCUGGCGGCGUGCCUAAUACAUGCAAGUAGAACGCUGAAGGAGGAGCUUGCUCUUCUGGAUGAGUUGCGAACGGGUGAGUAACGCGUAGGUAACCUGCCUGGUAGCGGGGGAUAACUAUUGGAAACGAUAGCUAAUACCGCAUAACAGUAGAUGUUGCAUGACAUUUACUUAAAAGGUGCAAUUGCAUCACUACCAGAUGGACCUGCGUUGUAUUAGCUAGUUGGUGGGGUAACGGCUCACCAAGGCGACGAUACAUAGCCGACCUGAGAGGGUGAUCGGCCACACUGGGACUGAGACACGGCCCAGACUCCUACGGGAGGCAGCAGUAGGGAAUCUUCGGCAAUGGACGGAGGUCUGACCGAGCAACGCCGCGUGAGUGAAGAAGGUUUUCGGAUCGUAAAGCUCUGUUGUAAGAGAAGAACGAGUGUGAGAGUGGAAAGUUCACACUGUGACGGUAUCUUACCAGAAGGGGACGGCUAACUACGUG